UACGUAGGGUGCAAGCGUUAAUCGGAAUUACUGGGCGUAAAGCGUGCGCAGGCGGUGAUGUAAGACAGGUGUGAAAUCCCCGGGCUAACCUGGGAACUGCAUUUGUGACUGCAUCGCUGGAGUGCGGCAGAGGGGGAUGGAAUUCCGCGUGUAGCAGUGAAAUGCGUAGAUAUGCGGAGGAACACCGAUGGCGAAGGCAAUCCCCUGGGCCUGCACUACGCUCAUGCACGAAAGCGUGGGGAGCAAACAGG
rnacentral:rRNA from 1 species